rnacentral:rRNA from 1 species
AACGAACGCUGGCGGCAUGCCUAACACAUGCAAGUCGAACGAGAUCUUCGGGUCUAGUGGCGCACGGGUGCGUAACGCGUGGGAAUCUGCCCUCAGGUUCGGAAUAACCAUUGGAAACGAUGGCUAAUACCGGAUGAUGACGUUAAGUCCAAAGAUUUAUCGCCUGAGGAUGAGCCCGCGUAGGAUUAGCUAGUUGGUGUGGUAAAGGCGCACCAAGGCGACGAUCCUUAGCUGGUCUGAGAGGAUGAUCAGCCACACUGGGACUGAGACACGGCCCAGACUCCUACGGGAGGCAGCAGUGGGGAAUAUUGGACAAUGGGCGAAAGCCUGAUCCAGCGAUGCCGCGUGAGUGAUGAAGGCCUUAGGGUUGUAAAGCUCUUUUACCCGGGAUGAUAAUGACAGUACCGGGAGAAUAAGCUCCGGCUAACUCCGUG